rnacentral:lncRNA from 1 species
UAAUUUUCCAGCACACACAGAGCUCAAAAUGAAAACAGAAAAGUACUUUUCCUACCAGCAAUUUUUGAAGAAUAAAGAAAAGAAAAUUCUGUAGGAUGGGGAAGAAAGGAAUAUCCAAGGUGGUGUGUGAGCCACCCUGCAGAUCCACAUUCUACCUCCAGAAGGCCACUGGGAUGUCUCCUUACCAGCUGUGCAGACAACAAGAAGCACAGAAAGAAGGAUAUCACAGAAAACCAGAGCAGAAGUAUCCAUGGAAACAUGAGAUCUUAUUGAGAGUGUCAGGAGAAAUGUUUUGAAGAGCAGAUUUCCUCUGCACAGAAGACAAGAAAACCAAAUUCCAUCCCACCGGACAAAACAGUGUUUUGGAUAAGCCUGGAUAAUUUCAGAGAUGAAGAUGUCCCUCGUCCCUCAGGUACAGGUGGAGAUCACUGAGAACUACAGGCUGUGAAGUGGCUGCAGGGCUGAGCCCUGUGGGAUGGACCCCGGUCCUAAAGAGCUGAUGAGGGACACGGGAGGGAGCAGUGCCAGACUGGGCUGGGAAAAAACAAGCUGUGUCCUGCAAUCCCAGGUGCAGUCAUUCUUAAUGGCUGGGCUCUGGUGACUCUGACUUCAAAUGACUUUUUGAAAGCAAGUAAUUACUUCAUGGUCUGAAAUGAUGCACCUAAAUCCCGCUCCUGCCUUGAGGCUUAUUGAUA